GACUUCGUAGCUCAGUUGGUAGAUCAUUGAACUAGUAUUCCAAAGGUCGCGGGUUCGAUUCCCACCGCGGUUA
rnacentral:tRNA from 1 species